GUGCUCUGGUAGGCAGCAGAUAUCUUAACAUUGGAACAAUACCGAGAUUAGCAUGACGCCUACGAAAAGACAACACACAAAUUCAUGAAGGGUUCCAUAUUCUU